rnacentral:rRNA from 1 species
UUGAGAGUUUGAUCCUGGCUCAGAACGAACGCUGGCGGCAGGCCUAAUACAUGCAAGUCGAGCGCGCCCUUCGGGGUGAGCGGCGGACGGGUGAGUAACGCGUGGGAAUAUGCCCUUCUCUAAGGAAUAGCCUCUGGAAACGGAGAGUAAUACCUUAUACGCCCUUCGGGGGAAAGAUUUAUCGGAGAAGGAUUAGCCCGCGUUAGAUUAGGUAGUUGGUGGGGUAAUGGCCUACCAAGCCUACGAUCUAUAGCUGGUUUGAGAGGAUGAUCAGCCACACUGGGACUGAGACACGGCCCAGACUCCUACGG